UGGAAGCUCGUCGGGCUCAUAACCCGGAGGUCGCAGGUUCAAAUCCUGUCCCCGCAA
rnacentral:tRNA from 1 species